rnacentral:rRNA from 1 species
UACGUAGGGUGCGAGCGUUGUCCGGAAUUACUGGGCGUAAAGCGCACGUAGGUGGAUAUUUAAGUCGGAAGUGAAAGCCCUGGGCUUAACCUGGGAAUUGCCUCCGAGACUGGAUAUCUAGAGUAUGGUAGAGGAUAGUGGAAUUUCCGGUGUAGCGGUGAAAUGCGUAGAUAUCGGAAGGAACACCAGUGGCGAAAGCGGCUAUCUGGACCAAUACUGACACUUAGGUGCGAAAGCGUGGGGAGCAAACAGG